AAUAAAGCCAAAGGAACAGUUAAUGGUUACAAAUAGUGACUUGGCUUUUUAAAAUAUAAAAUUAAAAAGUAUGUUUUCUUUCUUCUGACUUCACAGUUAACCUACAACGAGACAAAGGAACACGUUACUACUCUCUUGUGUAUCCUGACUGGCCAAUAUCUGUACGCAACAAAAACUUAUCUCUCUUUCUCACGGUUAGCCCACCGAUCCUAAUACUGGGCGCCCUAACGACCGUGUGGGUCAUGCACAGAUAUCCUCAGUUAUUUUAAACUAAAGUAAUAAUAAUUUAAAAAAAACCCACCCCAACUCAUUCAUAUAUGACUU